AUCUGUCACUGCAUAUUUCCAGGCCCAGGUCAGACUCAGGCAAGUAUGGCUUUCUCCCCUCUCCACACCCUGGUCUCCUGCACCCAUGAAGCUGCCGACCCAGUUUCUGAUGGGAAAGUGAGGAUCUCUGCGCAAAGUCAGAUGAGAGGAGAGGAAGCCAACACUGUGCUGCCUUAACAUAACGCAGACACGACCCUCCUUCUGAGCGAGGGGUGAGGAACCUGGGCCUUCCCACUCAGAGCGUUUGGAACAAACUCCCAAAAUACCAGAGGCUCAGUACGAACCUCCUUUGCUGUCACCAGGAGGAAGGAUGAAUCAUACCCAACACGCGAUUUCCCUCGUCCCCAAACACUGCAUGGAUACUUACAUUUAGUGGCAUUUUACAUGUGCGAGGUAUUUUUUAAGAAAUUCUUUUCUCUCUGUCUUUUUUUCUAAACCAAAACACCAGCUGUAAAACCCACGGCUUCCUUCCCCUCUAGGUCUGCCGCGGUAGGAGGCGGCAGCGGCAGACGGCCGGCCCCCUGUGCUCUGAGUCAGGCCUCCCUCUCGGCGGCUUGCUGCCUGCAAAACAAACUUAAAAGCUGGUGAAUGGCACUUAGGGGCCCACAAGCACGCAGGGAGGCCUAAAAUAUUUGCAGAGCACACACUCUGCUCACAGAAUGAAAGGCCACUAUGUAAAUAGCUGGGCUCCGUCGGGGUGAGGCAUCUUCAAAGCGGCUUCUGCUUGUCACAUCAAGCCAGCAAGGAUGCAAAGACAUUCAUUCAAAAGCAGCACGCAGGAACCACACCACGACUUCCUGGCCCCAAAAGGUAGACUCAGAAAGGGACCACAGCCUGGAGUCCCGUGUUUCUUUUCCUCGCCCUUUCUCCUGCGCUGCACAGUGCACAGGGUGGUUUUGUGAGAUGGCUUACAAUGUCAGCUUUCAGGGCUGGGCAGACAUGAUCAGUUUUCUCUCCUCUGGCAGGGGAAGGCUUUUCUGGAAGACGCUCACAAGGCAACCAUAGUUACUAAUGGAGCAUGGCAAAGCAUGAGACAGAGGUAGUUAUUACCCAGGCUUGACAAAAAAAAGGAACGUGGGAUGGUUUUUGCAUCAAGCCACAAAUACUAAUUCCAAAGACUCCCAGCAACAAUGACCGUGAUUUCCAGCAUGCACCACAGUGCAAGAAUGGCUAAAGGUGUGCACUGUUUCUUCAGAUCUUUAAUUGCUGGAGGAACCUCAACUGGUACAAAAGGUUUCCGGAAUACAGGAGGAGCUGGGGAAAGGACUAGCAUUUCAAAGCACCUACUAUGUACUGCGCUGUAACUGCAGCAUAUCAUUUGACCUUCCCGACGUGCCGGGGACAGAGGACUGUCACUUUUGAGCAUCCAAAGAGUCCACAUGGAAGGGAAAGUGGGCCAAACGUCACUCUGAGGAGACCGGGGGUCUUGCCGUCUUAACCACUGUUUGCAGUGAGAAACGGUCUACCAAACGCCACACACACCCACCCGAGGUUCCGCAGGAAUUGGUGGAAAAUACCUCACAAGCAGCGCAGCUGUUCCCUCUGAGGAGCACGCGUGGGGGAGGCCAGGCCUGGGAAGAGGGGGUGUUCCCGGGGCUGUGACACACAGCAUUCCUUUCCCUUGAAGCAUCCAAGCCCGAGAAGCUGCAGUCUCCCCCGGGGACUAUGACACAGCCACGGCCGGGAAGGGCCUCACCAAAACAGCGUCCACGCGUCCUUCUCCAGAGGAAACCCCUUCCCAGGCUGUGUGCGAGAACUCUCGCAUGUGCCAAGGCUCUACCGCCCCUCCCACCCUUCUGCCAGACAAAUACCCCAAAGUCAGCGGUCUGAUAGGAUGUGUUUAUAUUUACAUGGUACAUCUUAAAGCAAUGGCUACAUUGGUCAUACAUAUUAGAAACCAUAAAAAAAAGUUAAGAACUAAAAUGUACAUCAUACACUUGUAUAUAUAUUUUUUACACAGAGGUAAAAAGGCUUAUUAUAAAAAAAUCAAUACAACAGGUUUUUUUUUUUUUAGUAUACAGGUGAAGAAUGAAUUAUGCUUCAGGCACUUUAAUUUGUUAAUGUGAGCAAAUAGCUGGGGGGUGGGGGGUGGUCAGAGGAAGCUUCCAAACAAAUCUUUUGGUUAAUGUUUUGUUACCACAGAUACAAAAAUAAAAUCUGAAUAAUUUCUCUCAAAUGAUUGACGUCAGUAUGGCAAAGCUGACUGGGAAAAUACUACACACUGUUCAGCUGCAGUGUGGCAGUUAGAGAGAAACGUAUUUACAUAAAUGUCCCCAUGGCUGUCCUUGUGCCCUUAACCGCUGCCUUCACAAACCAAAACGUAUAUGCGAAGUAAGAUUCACUAGCAUAACUCUUCAAAAGGGUGGAAAAGGACAAGGGGUAAAAAAGAUAGAAACAACAAGUAAAUAGAGACUACAAACAAAAAGUGGCGGGGACAUGUGUAUUCUUACUGAAAUAAAUAGGGGCACUCGGAACUGAGGUCUAACAAAACAUACAUUAGUGUUGUGCUUUGUAGAGAGGAGACCUUGAGAAAGGCCCUGAGGAAAUACCUCAGGAUUGGAGAGUGGGGGGCAAUGGCCUCUCGACAGCAUCUGGAGGCCGGCUGAAGGUUUUCUAGAUGUUUUCCAGACUGGGAAGCAGUUCUUUUUUCUUCCAUCACCAGACUGACAGCUCUCUGCAACUUUUCCAAACUGGAAGGCCACACCAUUCACUCCAACAUAUGAAAAUGUCUACCAACUAACUCGUAAGCACACUGGGUAUUUACAUCGACGAUCUGACUAAAGAAAGGCGGCGGGUGCUCAGAUGAGCUGAAAAUGUUCCAUGAAGGUAAGCAUGGCUCGUACUUUCCCAAUAUGAUUGGCAGACUGGAAAAAAGUCUCUUUCCUUGAAGACUGAUGCCCUGUGUGCAACAGAGAAGGGAUGGGGGGAAGCGGAGACACAGACAGCAGGCUGUGCCCUGAGCUGGCAACUACCACAGGAAGAUCAUGGCGGGAAGAACGGCCAACUUUGACAAGCCUGUCCCUUAUGGUCUCCAUGACGUUCUGAUUGUACUAUGCUAGGUACCACUCACUCUUCACUUUUCUUUCUGGGACAAGAUUUGGCUACUCCUUGCAAUAGACUGGGAAAAUACUCUUUUCCAGCUAAUUAGAAGCCUCCUACAUGGCCAGGUGACAGGUAGACCCAGACUGCUGACCUAACCAUCUGUGCACCCAAAUUGGCAAGUCUGGGUUUUUGAGAUGCAGGAGAAAGACACUUAGGCAUUGGAAGGGUUUUUACAUAUGGCCUUGUUUUUUUCCCCCAAGUAUAAACAAAGCAUUUGGUGACGUGAGAUUCAGUCCAGGAUGAAAACAAGAACAGAAACCCACAAACAAAAUGCAACCCACCACUCUUCAAAUUUAUGACAUUUAAAAUUUCCCCCCAUUAAGAGAAAAUAGCCAGUGGGGGUGUGGGAGGAAGCUCCUUCUAAUUUUCUUUACCACAACUUCAGUGUUUCUCAACUGGAACUCUUUGGAGAACACUGGUUUGUGUGUGAAUAGUCUAUCUCGUUUGCAAAACAAUGAGCAGAACUUCAUUAGUGUUUUCUUCUAAUAUUGCUAAAUUUUUAGACGUGGUGGUGACACAGUUUUAAAAAGUUCUACUUUAGGGGUAACUGGGGAAGCUCAGACAAACCUGAAAUCCCCUUUUUCUACCCCUGGUCUAAGAGGAUGCAAUGCAGUUUAUGGAAUUUCCUGAUCCACACAAGUUAAUCUGAAGUUAAGGCUCAAUUCUCAUUUUUGUGGGUGAAUGUUUUGCAUCAGUAAAUAAUUGUCAGGUUUUUGGGGGGAGGGCACAGGAAAUGUUUAUGGGCUCCAAAGAGAAACUGCAGCUUACUUGGCAAAUUUGGGUUUACAAAAGUUAAAGCGAUCUUGUUUUGUGGUAGACGUUUGUUAACUAGCUCACCUCCUAUACAUAAUCUGACUGCAGGUUCCAAUACUUCCGGUAGGGUUUCAUCAUUCUGACGUUACCUAUCUGCAGGAAUCCGCUGCUCCUUAGCAACCGGCAAGCCGACCCAUGAGCAAGAUCUCCUAGAAAACCAACUACAAAACCCACCCCAAAUCAGCAGUUCCGACUGCAGGUGCCUCUGCGCUGGAAGAGGUGGGUAGGAAAGACAUGAAAUCAACACAUGUAUAAGACAGUUAGCUUGAUUACAGAUUGGUAAUAGUACACAAGUGUCUGUGCGGAGGUUCCUUUCCUUAGAACACCGUGUGCCUGCGUGUAUGGGUGUGUGGUUGACGCAGAGUGGGUGGCUGGUGGGGGCUGCGUGGGGAGAGGGGAAAGUGCAGAGUUCACCAGGCGGGCUCCCCAGGCUGGAAUAGCGCCUCAAGGUACCAGGGAGCAAGAAAGAAGGUGAGAGUAUGUCAGAGACAAGUUCCCCUGUGGCUGUGGGAGGAGGAAGGGAGGGAGGGAAACUGAGUCACACGGCCGCUUUGUGCUUCCCCCCGCAGCACCUGCACAUCACCCCGCAGUGGUAGCAGGCCCGCAGGGGCAGGUAACAGCACAUACAGGGGGCCAGGAAAGACAAGGCAAUAAGAGCCAUCCACCGGAGGCAAAACUUCUCGUCGCUAGUAUCGCACGAGCACGGGUCUGUAUAGUCUCCCUCGGGGUCCGACAUACAGUGAUAGAGCAUGCUGUCCGCACACCACAUACAGCUCACCCGGCGGAUGCAAGUUCUCACAGAGUCGGGCGCGUCCUGACAGUGGCCCCUCCGGUUUUCCUCGUGGUUGAACAUGUCCCUGCAGUACUCGCACCGGGAGCGCUCGCCGUCCUCCUUCCGCCUCCGGGACUUGCCCCGGGACGGCUGGGUCUUGAUCACGCCGCCCCCGCGCCCUUUGGGGUCCUCGCCGAGGCCGAAGUCCGAGGAGUCCACGUAGGGGUAAUUGUAGUCGUGCUUGGGGACCUCGCCCUUGGCGAACCGCACGUAGGAGUCGGCGUCCUCGGAGGCGUCGGGGGAUUUGCCCCGCACUGGCGCGUGCCGGUAGUCCUCGUAGCCGGUCAGCCAGAUCUUCUCCCUGGGGUUGAUGCGCACAAUCUCCUCGUCGUCGUCUGGGAAGCUCACCUGGCGGUAAGGCCUUGGCAUCGGCUGCCCGGGGGGAAAAGGAGACAUGGUUGUAUUGCCGCGCCGAAAAGAGAUAAAACGCUCCACUAGGUACCUUUCGCCUUGACAAAGACAUUUCUGGAAGAAACUCACUGCUCCUAUAACUACUGAACAUCCCCUGGGUUGAAGGUGUAUUUCAAAUUGUGAUCCUUGAUCCAUUCCUGGGUCAGGAGAUCUUUUUUCCCUUUUGUGGAAGUACUACCAUAGAGGGGGGAAAGUGUGCGUAUGGGAAAAAAUGCACUCUGAAUUUUCGACAGCUAAACACACCUAGCUCAAGAAGCAGAACUUGAGAGACCUCCCUAGGACACUGCCCCCCUCCCUUGAGUUCCCUUCUACGCCUCAGGGGUGGGAGGACCACUAUCCUGAUUUCUAACAGAUUAGUUUCACCUGUUAUUGUACAGUGUGUUCUUUUCUAAGACCCGCUUUUCUCCCAAUGAAACAAAAAUACUGGAGUGCACUGCAUGUUCCAAGGGUAGCAUAUGUGGGUUAUCUGUGUGUAGGGAAUAUCUGCAUUCCAGGUCACAAUACAAGAUGCAUUUUGCACCGUGGGUCAUGUUCAAAAUAGCAAAAAGGGAUACCAGCAGCUAUGAUACAAGUACCUUGUCAUCUGGUUGGAAAAUAUAGAAAGGGUAGGAGUGCCGAUCUGGAGGCGGACUGCCUGGGUUUGAAUCCCACCAGGAUCUCACAGAUGGUCAAGCGCAAGCUGGAAUGCGAGCUCAGGCAAGCUGGACCGUAGAGCCAUGCUCCCUUGCCUUCAAAGCCCCCAGAUCUGCAUUCUCCCCCCCAGGGUGACACCGGCAUCUCUGUGGGUCGGUAAGGCUGCCUCCCCCGGAGCACCCUCGUGGCAGUGUGAGAUCUUCUACUCCUGAGGUCCUCCGAACGGCUCUGAGGGAGCCCACCAGAGUAAAGCCGCAGACUCAGAUUCUCUCUCAGCACAGGGCUACCUCGAGAACGACGAGAAUCUGUGCAGCGUGCACACACAACUGUCACACAGGAUGCGGCUGACACCUGUUGCCAUUACCGUGAUGAGAAUAUUGCCAUAGAAUUUAUCUCAUGGCAAUUACAUUUAUCCAUCACUCCCACCAGACUGUGAGCUCCUAGAGGGCAGGGGCCAUGCCUCACACAUGUUGCCUAAUUCUUGUUAGAUUCUUGACAGUUUCACAGAAAAUCACAAUCUUAGAUUAAUAAAAACAAAUCUUGGGAGCAGAAA